rnacentral:rRNA from 1 species
UACGUAGGGUGCAAGCGUUAAUCGGAAUUACUGGGCGUAAAGGCGCGUAGGUGGCCUGUUAAGUCGGACGUGAAAUCCCUCGGCUCAACCGAGGAACUGCGUCCGAUACUGGCAGGCUGGAAUCCGGGAGAGGGAUGUGGAAUUCCAGGUGUAGCGGUGAAAUGCGUAGAUAUCAGGAGGAACACCGGUGGGCGAAGGCGGUUC